ACGCUCGACACCUACGGGAGGCAGCAGUAGGAAUCUUCCACAAUGGGCGCAAGCCUGAUGGAGCAACACCGCGUGAGUGAAGAAGGGUUUCGGCUCGUAAAGCUCUGUUGUUGGAGAAGAACGUGCGUGAGAGUAACUGUUCACGCAGUGACGGUAUCCAACCAGAAAGUCACGGCUAACUACGUGCUAGCAGCCGCGGUAAUCUGAGCGGGCUGGCAAGGC
rnacentral:rRNA from 1 species